rnacentral:rRNA from 1 species
GACGAACGCUGGCGGCGUGCCUAAUACAUGCAAGUCGAGCGGACGGAUGGGAGCUUGCUCCCAGACCGUCAGCGGCGGACGGGUGAGUAACACGUGGGCAACCUGCCUGUAAGACUGGGAUAACUCCGGGAAACCGGGGCUAAUACCGGAUAACUCUUUCCCUCACAUGAGGGAAAGCUGAAAGAUGGCAUCUCGCUAUCACUUACAGAUGGGCCCGCGGCGCAUUAGCUAGUUGGUGAGGUAACGGCUCACCAAGGCGACGAUGCGUAGCCGACCUGAGAGGGUGAUCGGCCACACUGGGACUGAGACACGGCCCAGACUCCUACGGGAGGCAGCAGUAGGGAAUCUUCCGCAAAGGACGAAAGUCUGACGGAGCAACGCCGCGUGAGUGAUGAAGGUUUUCGGAUCGUAAAACUCUGUUGUCAGGGAAGAACAAGUGCCGGAGUAACUGCCGGUACCUUGACGGUACCUGACCAGAAAGCCACGGCUAACUACGUG